AGCGAACGCUGGCGGCAGGCCUAACACAUGCAAGUCGAACGGAUCCUUCGGGAUUAGUGGCGGACGGGUGAGUAACACGUGGGAACGUGCCCUUUGGUUCGGAACAACUCAGGGAAACUUGAGCUAAUACCGGAUGUGCCCUUCGGGGGAAAGAUUUAUCGCCAUUGGAGCGGCCCGCGUCUGAUUAGCUAGUUGGUGAGGUAACGGCCCACCAAGGCGACGAUCAGUAGCUGGUCUGAGAGGAUGAUCAGCCACACUGGGACUGAGACACGGCCCAGACUCCUACGGGAAGCAGCAGUGGGGAAUCUUGCGCAAUGGGCGAAAGCCUGACGCAGCCAUGCCGCGUGAAUGAUGGAGGUCUUAGGAUUGUAAAAUUCUUUCAGCGGGGACGAUAAUGACGGUACCCGCAGAAGAAGCUCCGGCUAACUUCGUG
rnacentral:rRNA from 1 species